CAGAAGUCAGGUCGGAUUAAGCCAUAGUACGGAAAAAACUAUGCUACCUGUGAGCCCCGUCCAAGGACGUUAAAAGAAGUCAGGCCACUACAAGUGCCAUAGCUUGAGUAAACUAUGCAGCCUGUAGCUCCACCUG
rnacentral:lncRNA from 1 species